rnacentral:rRNA from 1 species
GAUGAACGCUGGCGGCGUGCCUAAUACAUGCAAGUCGAGCGAACAGAUAAGGAGCUUGCUCCUUUGACGUUAGCGGCGGACGGGUGAGUAACACGUGGAUAACCUACCUAUAAGACUGGGAUAACUUCGGGAAACCGGAGCUAAUACCGGAUAACAUAUUGAACCGCAUGGUUCAAUAGUGAAAGGCGGCUUUGCUGUCACUUAUAGAUGGAUCCGCGCCGUAUUAGCUAGUUGGUAAGGUAACGGCUUACCAAGGCAACGAUACGUAGCCGACCUGAGAGGGUGAUCGGCCACACUGGAACUGAGACACGGUCCAGACUCCUACGGGAGGCAGCAGUAGGGAAUCUUCCGCAAUGGGCGAAAGCCUGACGGAGCAACGCCGCGUGAGUGAUGAAGGUCUUCGGAUCGUAAAACUCUGUUAUCAGGGAAGAACAAAUAUGUAAGUAACUGUGCACAUCUUGACGGUACCUGAUCAGAAAGCCACGGCUAACUACGUG